rnacentral:rRNA from 1 species
UGGGGGAUAUUGCACAAUGGGCGAAAGCCUGAUGCAGCGACGCCGCGUGGGGGAUGAAGGCCUUCGGGUUGUAAACUUCUUUUGCUCUGAACAAGGCAUGCCUUUGGGGUGUGUUGAGUGUAGGGGUUGAUUAGCGCCGGCUAACUACGUGCCAGCAGCCGCGGUAAUACGUAGGGCGCGAGCGUUGUCCGGAAUUAUUGGGCGUAAAGGGCUUGUAGGUGGCUGGUUGCGUCUGUCGUGAAAGCUCAUGGCUUAACUGUGGGUUUGCGGUGGGUACGGGCUGGCUUGAGUGCAGUAGGGGAGGCUGGAAUGCCUGGUGUAGCGGUAGAAUGCGCAGAUAUCAGGAGGAAUACCGGUGGCGAAGGCGGGUCUCUGGGCUGUUACUGACGCUGAGGAGCGAAAGCGUGGGGAGCGAACAGG